AAAGGUUUAGUUAAAUCAUAACAUUAAUUUGUCAAAUUAAAAUUAUUAAAUAAUUAGUAUCCUUUA
rnacentral:tRNA from 1 species